GGCUCUGUAGCUCAGUUGGUAGAGCAUCGGACUGAAAAUCCGCGUGUCAGCGGUUCAAUUCCGCUCGGAGCCA
rnacentral:tRNA from 1 species